CAGACUGUGAUAAUGUAUAGUUAACUAGAUAUUUAACAAAAUGUUUCAUCUAACGGUAAGGUUAACUUACAGUUGAACAUUUCUUUCAAAGCAGCGUUUUUAUUGAACUGCAGAUGCAAGUUUAACGUUACUAUUUCUGGGCAGUGGCUUACGUUAAUUCUGUAUAUUGUGCAUAUAACAUUAAUGUUGGAAACCCUUGUAACAUCAUAGUUAAAUCAGUAGGGAUGGGGAUCAAUAACCUUUACCAGGUUCUAAAAGGACCCGUUUCCAAAAUUUCUCGAAACCCGAAAAUCAAUAAGGUGCAAGCUUAUCGAUACUGCUAUCGAGACUAGCGGGUCCUAUAACUUUAUGUCUCAAGCGUCAAAUCUGAUUUAACUUGAAACGUGUUGGAUAAGAAAACUAAUGUUUUUUAUUGAUGGGGCCGAAACACGGUAUUAAACGGGCCGGUGUAGGUACCAGACUGAGACAGUUUAUAAGGAAGCUGCAGCCUCGCUGCUCUCUUUCGGCACCUACAUAGAUACACACACACACACACACACACACACACACACACACACACACACACACACACACACACACACACACACACACACACACACACAGCCAGCAGGCCAGCAGAGAGACUCAAACGCCGCUCCGUCACGGUGAAGACCGUGAAUUCAAGUUAACGUUAGCUCCAGACUAACGAUACUUGAGUUGACGACAGGUACGCUCAUUACUGUAAGUACGUGCAAUAAAACCUUAGCGAAUAAAAAUACAUUACUAUAUCAAUAACCUGUGUGUAGGGUAAACAUGUAGAAAGAGCUUAAGUUCACAGCUCUGCUGUUUCGUAGAAACCAUAGCCACUUUGUGUAGCCACUCUGUGAGGAGGGGUGGUAUCACAAAAAAGUGUCAAGUAGUGUCAGUGCAUACCCUCUAAUUCUAUUGACUGUCUGUUUCAGAAUAACCCUAAAACUAAUGCCUGACUUUUAUUUAUACUAUUAACACAUUGUUACAUGGGACUCCUUCUAUUUGCUGAUAGCGAAGUUAAUUUAUGUCAUUUUUACAACAGCCAAAGCAGCUCUGGAUUUCUGGCAUGGUGACUCAAGACAAUUCAGAGAAAGACAAAACCUUUGUCCAAGGAACUGAAAACGCAGACAACGGGAGGAGGUGGUCCAAGAAAUGAGAGGGAGCUGCCUUAGAUAAGUGGUCAGUUGGAUGAAGAGCGGUGUAAAGAGGUCAUAUCCUUGAUGAACCACAUCAGUGACCCAUGAGUACAGACAGCAUCUCAUCCAUCCACAAUCCUAAUGAAUCACACACCGUACUCUGUGGUUCCAAGACUGCUGGACACUAAAGAUAUGUCAAGAUUUUAGCCUGCUCUUUGGACCGGAAACAGCUGCCAAACUGCUUGAGAAGUGGUAUAUAGCCUACAAAGAAAAGGUGAUCAGAGAAGCAGAGAGUCGUACUACCACUCCAGUGCUCCAGAGUUUGGUGAAGUCUGCCAGGAAUCAGUACAAUGAUGAAUCUUCAGAGGAUAUCCCAGGUAUUCAAUUAAAGGCAGAUGAAAUGA